GACAGUGCACAUGGAGUGUCACAUCCAAGGCCAGAGACGGGUACCAUGACUAAGAAUCAAACUCAGAUCUACAUAUUGGUAGCCCAAGUCCUUAUCCCACUGAACCACCUGCUCCUCAUGGUGGA